rnacentral:misc_RNA from 1 species
UACAAUUUAAUCAAAAUCCAGAGUUGCCCAUUUCCAAAUUAGCUCCAAAUUUACUCAAUUGUAUAAGAGGCGUAAAUAGGAAGAUUCCCACCAAACAAAGGAAACAAAAGCUUAUACUGGUUAAAAAAUCGUCAUGAUCAUCAUCAUAAUCUGUAUGAAAUAAUUGAUUAGAGAAUAAGCCGAUCAACAGCAACGAGCUAAGCGAAGAGGCGGGACUUGUCCUUCUGGUCCGUUCCGUAGCACCAAGUUGAAC